rnacentral:rRNA from 1 species
GAGAUGUUGGGUUAAGUCCCGCAACGAGCGCAACCCUUGAUCUUAGUUGCCAUCAUUUAGUUGGGCACUCUAAGGUGACUGCCGGUGACAACCCGGAGGAAGGUGGGGAUGACGUCAAAUCAUCAUGCCCCUUAUGACCUGGGCUACACACGUGCUACAAUGGACGGUACAAAGAGCUGCAAGACCGCGAGGUGGAGCUAAUCUCAUAAAACCGUUCUCAGUUCGGAUUGUAGGCUGCAACUCGCCUACAUGAAGCUGGAAUCGCUAGUAAUCGCGGAUCAGCAUGCCGCGGUGAAUACGUUCCCGGGCCUUGUACACACCGCCCGUCACACCACGAGAGUUUGUAACACCCGAAGUCGGUGGGGUAACCUUUU